UACCAGCUCUCCGAGUGGUAGGGAUGAUUAUUGGGCUUAAAGCGUCCGUAGCCGGCUUAGCAAGUCUCCUGUUAAAUUCAGCGACCUAAUCGUUGAGCCGCGGGAGAUACUACUAGGCUAGGAGGCGGGAGAGGUCAACGGUACUUCCGGGGUAGGGGUGAAAUCCUAUAAUCCCGGGAGGACCACCAGUGGCGAAGGCUGUUGACUAGAACGCGCUCGACGGUGAGGGACGUAAGCUGGGGGAGCGAACCGGAUUAGAUACCCGGGUAGUCCCAGCUGUAAACGAUGCGAGCUAGGUGUUGGGGUGGCUACGUGCCACUUCAGUGCCGCAGGGAAGCCAUUAAGCUCGCCGCCUGGGGAGUACGGCCGCAAGGCUGAAACUUAAAGGAAUUGGCGGGGAGCACCACAAGGCGUGAAGCUUGCGGUUC
rnacentral:rRNA from 1 species